AUUGAACGCUGGCGGCAGGCUUAACACAUGCAAGUCGAGCGGGAAUAGGUAGCUUGCUACCGAUUUCUAGCGGCGGACGGGUGAGUAAUGCUUAGGAAUCUGCCUAUUAGUGGGGGACAACCUUUCGAAAGGGAUGCUAAUACCGAAUACGUCCUUCGGGAGAAAGCAGGGGAUAUUCGGAACUUUCUCCAAUAGAUGAUCCUAAGGCGGAUUGGCUAUUUGGUGGGGAAAAGGCCUACCAGGGCGACGAUCUGUAGCGGGUCUGAGAGGAUGAUCCGCCACACUGGGACUGAGACACGGCCCAGACUCCUACGGGAGGCAGCAGUGGGGAAUAUUGGACAAUGGGGGGAACCCUGAUCCAGCCAUGCCGCGUGUGUGAAGAAGGCCUUUUGGUUGUAAAGCACUUUAAGCGAGGAGGAGGCUACUUUGGUUAAUACCUAAAGAUAGUGGACGUUACUCGCAGAAUAAGCACCGGCUAACUCUGUGCCAGCAGCCGCAGUAA
rnacentral:rRNA from 1 species